rnacentral:lncRNA from 1 species
CCUCUUGAGCUCUUGUGGUGACCUGGGAAUCAAUGUGUGAGGUGGUGCUAUGUAGCAGGAACCCCUCUUGCUUUGCAAAUAGUUUUUUGUUUGUUUUCCUUUUUGCCCAAUAGAGCCCUGCUCUACUGACCCUUCAAUGUGCCCGUGUGCCUAAAUAUUCCUGGUCGUGUGAAAAGAACCCAGGUAUUAGCUGAACUAAGGAGCACAAUUCUGCAACAUUUUGGCACCCAAACACGGGGCUUGAGAAAUGAAUGCAAUUGGAGAAACUGGUUGUUUUACCAGGCGUUGAUUGGAAAUGUGUGCUUCCCUUUAAGCAGUCAAGCUCAACUUGCAGAACUGAUGGGAACCCCUUGGGAAAACUGGCCUCAAAUGUUUGUCUACACAGUCCACAUACAGGGUUCUUAACCUGCGACUGACCCUGCUUGUGCCUGUGAACCAACCAACAAUCUCUGGCUGCAGCUCAGAAAGGACAAAAGAGAAUGGAUGAGGGAAACUUCCCAGGGCUUGUCUGGGUAUGCCCACAGUGGACUGGAGCCCAAAAUGCACACUGGAGGAAGUGGAUGGAGCCACGUGGAUGUCAUGCCUUAUGCAGGGGAGGAGCCUGCUCUCUUCAGCUCCUGUGGUAAUGUGGGAAUCGAUCUGUGAGAUUCCAUGAACUCCAAGUUAAGAACACAUGAUCUGGAUGUUUGACAAAAUACCUUCAGCAGGAAUAAUGAAAGCCCUGACAUUUCUGUGUGCAUAAAAACUGGAAAACUUUAAAAGUAAUAAAUCACCAAGUCUUUAUAAAAAUCGAUGAGUUAGGUGUGUAUUAGCUUAUAUCGCAGAUGAGGAAACUGUAACAUGGAAUGGAUAAAUAAUUUGCUAAAGUCACAUAGAUUGUGAGUAGGAAACUGGAAAUUGAACAACAGCUGUAUUGCUUCAUGGUCAGUGGUUAAUGCUUCAAUAACUACACUAAAAGGCUUAUUUAAAA